CCCCAUCCCCCAUCCCCUAAGCCAGUAAAGCAAUGACAACAGCACCUUGACAUUGUUUUAAUUCCAACGCUAUCAGAAGUUAAAAGCAGUAAAACAGAUAUAGUACUAACAAGAACGAAGAUACUUACUGUCUAAAAUGUAAACGGAAUGUUUUGGUUCAAAUUUUUGUUGUGUGUGUGUGUUUUUUUUUCUGUUUUCUGAAAGAGGACAGUUUAUUAUCAAUUCACAAUUAAAGCAGCAUGCAAUUUAUUAUUUUUUUUAACUUUUUAUGUUUUCAAUUCUUGGCAACGGCAACAAACCACAACAUUAUCAAGGAAUGUAAUGCAGACUUUUUAAGUUGUGCGCAAAUGACUGUUUCCCUUCUGGUCAUGGACAUGUCCAAUAAAUAGAUUGUAGAACCACUGUACUGUAUAAACUUCAUUUAUACAUGCAGUUCAUAAAAUUAUUUUUUUCUUAACUGAAUAAUUUACCCUGUUAUGUAUAUAUACAAAUAGAUAAUUUUUGUCUCAAUAUAAUCUAAUCUAUACAACAUAAAUCCACUAUCUUCCCCUUUUAAUGGUCAAUGUACAUACACAAGAAGUGUCUAUCCUUAUGAAUCGCCAGCCAAUUCUCUUUUUGCUAUCCAUGGUAAGGGCCCGCACGUACGACUGGGUAGUUCGGCACUGGGAGUUCCAAUGCCUUUUGUCUAUGCCCCUGCAGCCUUCUUUUGUGUAACCCAUGGGAUUGCACUUGGUCUCGUAGAAGUAUUGCUUCAGUUGGCCUUUUGAUACAGGGACCUUUUCAAGGACUGUGACCGUCCCGCCCGACAUGUCCACUGCAGUCUUUUUGUCCGCCGCCGUAACCCACUCGCUAAUACUGUCACACACGCUCAGCUCCCCUCGGCGGGCAGGGUCAGAGUGGCGCCGGACCCUCAUGGACAUGUUUGCAGCAUCUAGGUAAUUUUUGUAUUCCUCCAGCAGAAAGAGAAGAGGAGGCUCCAAAGGCACUUGACUACUGAGCAUCACCCUGGACGUGUACAAGUCUGCGUCCUUAUUGUUUUCUUCAUUGGGCCGAACUUUCUGGUCCUCAUCCAACAGCUCUUCUAUCACGUGUUCGAAAGUGUCAGCCAACGAUGUCAAGCCUCUUGAACCUGCCUUGGGCCCAUUCACGCUCUCCAGAGUCCCAUGGGUCCGCACACCUGGAGAUACUCUAUUAUAGCAAAGAAGAAAGAUAAUUUCAUUGAGCCAUCCUGUUUUACAGAAUCCCUUCAAAGCCUGGUGGUCUGACACCCUAUGCUACGUGACUCGUGACCCAUCCAUUUGUCAUGUUGUUUGGGAAUGUGGCUAAGGGGCUGAGAUGUGACUUGAAAAGAAAGGUAGAACCAGAUCAUCUCAAAUUUAUUAUCAAGGAAUAGUUCAGACAACGACUUCCGACCACAGAGACAGCAGAACAGAUGGUCCGACAUGGAUAGAGCAUCAGACACUCACAGACUGUGCCAACAAGAGCCAUCGAGUCAAAACCGCCAAAGGAAGGAGGGUCAUGGAAUGGGUUCUCUCACACCAAACUGAUGCCCAGAGGCCCUUGGCAUGAAUAACAAAGGCAACCAGACCCACAAGCCAUACUGAGUGGAUACAAAACCUAUACCUAGGCUGACAUCCCAAAUGUGUGUGGCAAGUUAGAUGAUGAUGGCACAAAAGACAGAACACCUUGCUUCUGGCCAUUGUCAGCUCUUGGAAGAGAGCACACUUUUAGAGGAGUAGCUGCAAGGAGCCUGAGAACAAAACUAGAAAUGUCUGUUAUGAAAGCCUUCGCAGGUAUUAUUAACAAAAGAAAAUGUGUAUUUGUCAAUGGUGUUUCAGCUAGAUUUUGGCAGUCCAUUCUUAUGCCCAGG
rnacentral:lncRNA from 1 species